CUUGGUUCUAACAACCACACAACUUGAAAGCAGUGAGAAAUGGCCAGUGCUGCCCUCUGAGAGGGAAGAUACUCCAUCCCGUAGAAGGGACCUUUAGGCUCCCUCCCGCUCUACCGCACCUCCAGGGGAUGGGCGGGCUGCUGGGCUCACCCUGUCGGCCUGCUUUUGCUGUGCGGAGACGGCAGAGAGCGUCCGCUCCAGCUCUCCCACGCGCUGCCUGGAAGACUGCAGGCGGUUAGCGAGAUCCUCCGACUCUCCUGAAACAACAGUUAGAAGUGAAGCCCAAGAAGGAAUCCCACUGAAGGCCUGCCAGCACGCCUGGCUGAAGGGAAGAGAGAAGAAACAGCUCUUACUGGGAGAAGGGAGAGAUGGAACAGCAAAGGACAUGCCCCCAGAAUGCCACCACUGGCCCAGGACAGGCCCACCAAUGAGAACAGGUCCUUUCUGGGAAAGGAGCUAUCCACCAAGAACCCUCUCCCUGCUCCUAGAGGUAAAAAGAAAACCAUGGCCACUGCCCUACCCUAACCUCCUAGCUCCAAACACCCACCCAAGAAACAAGCUGAGAAACCAGAGGUAAGAUGUCUACCCUCUGACUCUCAGCAUCCUGGGAAACAAUCGUGGGAUUGAGGACCAGGAGCCAUGGAGACACUCCCUCUUCCCUGAAUGGACCCACUUGCUGGCCAGAGCCCCACUCGGCUUCUCUCCAGGCUCAGGCCUGACACUCAGUCCUAGCCUCCGGCUCUAAAGAUUUAAUGUUCAACAGGACAGAUGGGCAAAGAGAUGGGGAAGAGGGUUGAUAAGCUAAAGACUGACGAGGGAAGAGCGCUAGGGAGCCAAGGCCUGGCCAGCAAAGCUAGGUCCAGAAGAAGAGGCUGCACCUCUCCUGCGGGAAAGAGCUGCCUGCUCUCUGGACCCCUCAAUCCUGGCCUCUGGAAACCCAAAUCCACUGCCCUCUUUAGAGCAACUGUUAUGGAACCUGGAGGAGCUGAAGAUAAAUCAAGCUGUUUGUGUGGUUACUGUCCAUGCUGUGACCUUUGACCCUGGAACCUGGUGUUGCCUUGCCAACCUGUACCACUGAACCUAACCAGCUGGCUAGGCAUGAGACUUCAGGGGAGUGGAGCACACUCUUAGCCAUGGGCCCUGGUCAGAUGCCUGGGUCCCUCCUGGCAUCUUGGGUGCCCACUGAUCCCUAGCAUUAGAAACAAGAAAGCUCAGAAGGGGAAAAAAGUAUUUUUCUGAGGACUUAAAUAUACAUAACAUGCCUAUUCUGUGAGCAACCAACUUAUUUCAUAAUUUUGAGUCAUAAAGCUAAGUAUGGCAUUUUAAAAAUCACUGUCCAUUCCCCUCAAAUGCCUCAUUCCAUUAAAAAAAAUUUUUUUU